CUAUUUCUUGGGCCACUCCUGUGGCAUAUGGAGGUUCCCAGGCUAGGGGUCCAAUUGGAGCUGUAGCCACCGGCCUACGCCAGAGCCACAGCAACGCGGGAUCCGAGCUGCGUCUGCAACCUACACCACAGCUCAUGGCAAUGCCGGAUCAUCAACCCAUUGAGCAAGGGCAGGGAACGAACCCGCAACCUCAUGGUUCCUAGUAGGAUUCGUUAACCACUGCGCCACGACAGGAACUCCAAGUUUCCUAUUUCUUAGAGAACAAAGUCCCAUGGCAAAAUCCUUUACAGCCUCAUCUCACACUCCUUUGUACUUGAACAACACAGAGCUACUUAUAGGUCCAAAUUCCUAUGAUUGUUCCAUGCCUCUGUGACUUGGCACAUGGGCCUUGAUAAGCCUGGAGGAGCUUUGCUCUCUUCCUCUGAGAUUGGUUCCUAUUUAUUCUCAACUCUUAAUUCAAAACUAUCACCUGCUCUGCUGAAUCUUUCCUAACUCAACUGCAUGUCAAAAGCCAUACAUAUAUAGGCCUUCUGGUUUUGUCCAUAUUUAUAAUAUCACACUUAAAAUACUUUAUGCUAACUAUUGCUUAUAUGUGCAUAUAAUUUUUCUUGGAUGUAUAUAAUUCUUGGGAAUGAGACCCAUAUUAUUAUUUCUUUAAUCUUUGCACAGUGCUCAGUAUACAUUAAGUUGUUUCUAACUUUUUGUUGAAAUCUUGUCCACUCUUCAAACCUUAGGAUGAUUGUUAGAGGAAAAUUCUUCUAAAAUAAAUGCACCACUGGAUAAUGUUGGUGAUACAUCAAGUAAACUUUGCAUAUCUGUGCCUUAGAAUGCCUUGUAGGAGAGAACUGUGUCCAAAUUUCUUGUUGGAUAAACAAGGUAAGAGUGAACAUGUCAUAGUCAGAUAGAUAUAAACAAAGGGGGAAUUUAUUCAACAAAGAAGGACAACAACAAUGUGGUCUUCCUGAUCUCUGACGUUGGGACCAGCUGGUGGAAAAAUCAAAGUGUGACCUUUCUGAUUGUCCCAAGAACUCUCAAUGAGACCAACGUAAACAUCUGCUUUAAUAACUGAAUCAAUGCUAUGGAAAUGUUGCAAAAGACCUGUCAACCAAGAAGUGUGAGAAUAGCUUAUUCUAUCAAAGCCACUGUUUUUGUUGUUGUUGUAGUUGUUGUUCAGGGUACUCACAAGCCAUGGGCUCGAGUAUUUUAGAGGCACCCUCCUCUAGGAGUUGAUAGGUGUAGGAGAGAAGUCUCAUUUUGAAACAAGAGAGCAUAUUGUCCUUCCUCUGCAAGGUCCUGGGUGUCAGUGGCUUGCUGUGAUGGAAACUAGAAUUAUGCUGGGCACUGUGACUUUUCACCAGUAGCUUGGAUCUUUUGGCCUGGCAAAAGCUGUCAUACGUGUUGAGGCUCCUAGAGCUAAAGCAGGGGUCACAUCCACUAAAAUGGGAAGAUACCAGGACGUGCUGAGAAAGCUAUGGGAGAAAUAGCAUAAUGAAGCCAAAUGCUAGAGUAGGGUCAGGAAAAGAAGAGAAAUCAGGCUGAGGUAUAACUGAGGAGUAGAGGCAUCUUUGAACAAGCAUCUGGAAUACAAAUAGCCUUUGACUGGUAUGGGGACAGGUAAUCCUGGUAUAAAGUGCUUUGUAGAUAAUGGGAAAAUACUCUCCACUUCCCCUGCAAGGGUGAAAAUAUUCUUCACAAAGAAGCAAGAGUAGAGAACUCACUGAGCCAGGGUCUCUAAAGCCUCAGUGGGGUUGCUAUCAAAAAGUACUGCCCACAUCCCUGGUAGCAGGAUUCCUGGACCAGCCCCAUGGAGCCUGGGUUUUCACAAAACCAGAGUCUCACAAAGAGCACAGGGAGUGUGAGAAAAGGAAAGCAGAUUUCAAGAAAUGCAUUAGGCAAUUUGAGUACAAGAAAACAUCCACAGACCUGUGAGUGCUUCUCUUGUCUUCUAAACUGACAAAAGAACAUUCGCCCUCCACCCUGAGUAUACUCCCAAAUGGAUGUUGCCAUCUAGAUGUUCCUCCACCUGGAUAUUUUCUAGACAACAUCCUCAUGAAUUUGGCAGUCAAUACUUUCAAGACCUCUUAGGAAGAUGGUGAAAGAUGGGCUGGCUUCCAGUUGUGGAACAAGAGAGCAUACAUUCACUUUCCCCUGCUGUUCAGUGGCAUCUUCCCCUAGAAGUUCAUUCAGAAAUAGUAAGUAGCCCUAAAAAAAUGCCUUUCCUGCCAACAGAUGGAACCAGACGGGCCUGAACAAUAACCCUAAUAGCAUCAUAAGAAUGAAGCCAGCCAGAAUAACAUUGCAAGGGCCCAGAAAACCAAACUGUCAUUGUAACUAGAGCCAACAAAAUUACAUAAGUUCAACCUAAACAGGACAAAUGCCUGCUAACACAGAACAGAGGACCCAGGGUCUCCUAACACAAUAAUCAAAAUAUCCAGGAUACAGUGGAAAAUCACUCAUCAUGCCAAGAACCAGGAAAACCAUAACCUGAAUGAGAAAAGACAACCACCUGGUGUCAAUAACAAGAUAUAUUUGAUGUUAGAAAGUCUGAUUAGUGUUUUAAAGCAGGUGUUAUAAAGUCAGCUCACAACUGCCAGAAUGGUUAUUAUCAAAAAGAUAAACGGUAACAGUGCUGGUGAGGACAUGGAUAAAAGGGAACACUGGCACAGUGCUGGUGGGAUUGUAUAUUGGAAUAGGCACUGUAGUAAACAGCAUGGAGAUUCCUCAAAAAAUUAAAAAUGGAAUUGCCAUGCGAUCCAGCAAUCCAGAUUCUGGGAAUAUAUCCUAAGGAAAGGAGAACACCAUGUGGAAGAGAUACCUGCACCCCAUCUUCAGAGCAGUGUUAUUUACAGUAGCUAAGAUAUGGAAAUAACCUGUGUCUGGGGGCGGAUGAAUGGAUAAAGAAGAUGUGGUAUGUAUAUAUGUGUGUGUGUAUAUAUAAUGGAAUAUUAUUUGUCUCUACAAAGAAAGAAAUCCUGCCAUUUGCAACAACAUGGACUGUGAGAGUGCUAUCUAAGUGAAGUGAGUCAGACAGAGAAAGACAAAUACCAUACAUUCUCACUUAUAUAUGGAAACUUUAAAAAUAGAAAAAAAAAAGCCGUAGGAAGAGAGAUCAGAUUUGUGGUUACUGGGGUGGGGGUUGGAUGAAGGUAGUCAAAAGUUUUAAGUGUCAAAAAAAAAAAAAGUUAUGGAAGAGACCUGGGUAAGCUUGUGUAGUACUAUUUCCAGACCAAGUUCCAUGACUCUUCAGCCCAUCAUAAUUGCCACAAAUGUUGUUAAGAGUUGUAGAUUGGAUAUACAGUGGUUCUUACAUUUCCUUAGUUAUGAUCAGUAUUUUGCCUCUCUCUAUUUUUCCAAUUUGCCUGAGUAAAUUAAAGUCUUCAGGAAAGGUCAGAUUAUAGUUGUCUAAGAAAUAAAAUCAGCAUUUAUUCAUGCCCUGUUCUGGGAUUACCCAAGCUAACCUGAUUUGUUAUUGUCAAAAUCAGUAUCUACUGUACUGGGGAACAGGCCAUCUUUUGUAAAAAUGUGCUAGUUUAACUAUCUUCAAAGCCUAUAUCCAGUUCCAAGAUAAAUGGUCUUGCUGAGGUCAUCUACAUUGAAUGGAAACUGGAGUUAUAACUGAUAAUCAAAAUUGUCUUUCAGGUUUAGAAACACCACCUUGAGUGGACCUGCCCUAGGCCCCUCAGUCAGCUGGCACUAGGUGAAGUGAUGAUUAUUCUGGGAGCACUUCAAGUUUACAUCUGUUACACAACCAGCAGUUAAAACUGACAGGCAGAUACCCAAGAAUAUUAGCAAGCUCCGCAGGCAUUGGCAAAGGCAUCUUGCCCAGAAGGAUUGUUGGGAUAACAAAUUUUUAGCCAGACAUAAUUGAGACUGAUCAAGACGAAAAAGGGAAACAGUGCUACCUGCAUGUUAGUAUGUUAAGGCCAGAACACUCAACCAGAGGAUGGGCUAAAAAGCAGUUUGAGAUAAAAUGGAGUGGGGGUCCUGAAUAAUGGCCUUAAAGGAGGUUGCUGCCUGAAGCUGAUUUGUGAUAGGGCUUAUGGUGCUGAAGCAGGAAGACAAGUAAGAGGGCCACACAACAAAUGAUGAUGCAAAACAAGAUCGUAAAUCAUUGCUUUCAUAGUGGAAAGCUAAAAGACUUAUCUAUGAAAAACUGAGUUUUAACUAUUUUAAGUCAUUUCAUGUCACUGGACAAGAUGCUUCUAUUGUAUUUUCUAUUGUAUUUUGUUCUGAAAUAAUGUGUUAUGACACAGGAU
ensembl:lncRNA